rnacentral:rRNA from 1 species
GUGGGGAAUCUUAGACAAUGGGCGCAAGCCUGAUCUAGCCAUGCCGCGUGAGCGAUGAAGGCCUUAGGGUUGUAAAGCUCUUUCGUGGGGGAAGAUAAUGACUGUACCCCAAGAAGAAGCCCCGGCUAACUCCGUGCCAGCAGCCGCGGUAAUACGGAGGGGGCUAGCGUUGUUCGGAAUUACUGGGCGUAAAGCGCACGUAGGCGGACUGGAAAGUCAGGGGUGAAAUCCCGGGGCUCAACCCCGGAACUGCCUUUGAAACCCCCAGUCUUGAGUUCGAGAGAGGUGAGUGGAAUUCCGAGUGUAGAGGUGAAAUUCGUAGAUAUUCGGAGGAACACCAGUGGCGAAGGCGGCUCACUGGCUCGAUACUGACGCUGAGGUGCGAAAGCGUGGGGAGCAAACAGGAUUAGAAACCCGGGUAGUCC